rnacentral:rRNA from 1 species
UACGGAGGGGGCAAGCGUUGUUCGGAAUUACUGGGCGUAAAGCGCACGUAGGCGGUUUUGUAAGUCUGGGGUCAAAGGCGACAGCUCAACUGUCGUAAGGCCUUAGAUACUAUAGAACUGGAGUGCCAGAGAGGAUGGCGGAAUUCCCGGUGUAGCGGUGAAAUGCGUAGAGAUCAGGAGGAACACCGAUGGCGAAGGCAGCCCCCUGGGCCUGUACUGACGCUCAUGCACGAAAGCGUGGGGAGCAAACAGG